rnacentral:tRNA from 1 species
CAGAAGUUAGUUUAUGAAAAAAUGUGGGUUUUGGAAAUCCGGGAAAUUCUUUUGAGUACUUCUGA